rnacentral:rRNA from 1 species
GGGGAUAACACUUGGAAACAGGUGCUAAUACCGCAUAAUAGUCGACACCGCAUGGUGUUGAUUUGAAAGACGCUUUCGGGUGUCACUGAUGGAUGGACCCGCGGUGCAUUAGCUAGUUGGUGAGGUAACGGCUCACCAAGGCGAUGAUGCAUAGCCGACCUGAGAGGGUGAUCGGCCACACUGGGACUGAGACACGGCCCAGACUCCUACGGGAGGCAGCAGUAGGGAAUCUUCGGCAAUGGACGAAAGUCUGACCGAGCAACGCCGCGUGAGUGAAGAAGGUUUUCGGAUCGUAAAACUCUGUUGUUAGAGAAGAACAAGUAGGAGAGUAACUGCUCUUACCUUGACGGUAUCUAACCAGAAAGCCACGGCCAACUACGUGCCAGCAGCCGCGGUAAUACGUAGGUGGCAAGCGUUGUCCGGAUUUAUUGGGCGUAAAGCGAGCGCARGCGGUUUCUUAAGUCUGAUGUGAAAGCCCCCGGCUCAACCGGGGAGGGUCAUUG